GAUAUAUGUAUGAAUUGAUAUGUGCAUUUUGUGAUAUGUUACACCCGUAUCGAGAUUUUAAUCGUUUAUCAUUUUAAACUGGAACACGUGUUCUUACAAGGAAAUAAAGUUACAAAAGGAAGUUAUUUCAUCGGAGUUUGAAAAAGAUUGGUCCACCAGUAUGAAAAAGAAAAAUAUUUUAGUAUUGAAAACAAUGAAAUGUAAUUCAUUGGCUGUUUUUGGUUUUCUUAUUUUUAAUAUUUUGGGCCCAUUUUAAAAGUUGUCAAUAGCGACUACGGAUUUAGACUGUGUCGCAUUAGUAGAUUGUUUACUGAUUCCAGUGCUUAUACGUUACUGGUACACCAAUGGGGUCCCAUGAAAUGCAAGCAUUCCAGAACAAAACUAGUACUCUUGGUGUUCCAGUUCGCGGACACAAUGUUCCAGUUCGCGGACACAAUACUGGACCUCGACUAAGCCCAACUGAUAAUGAUUCUGGGCACGGGAAAGGUAACUUUGUUACGAAUUACUAGCUAUAUAAUUUUUUUUCGAAAUAAACAUUAUUGC